GAGGGUUUUAAACUAUCGCUGCUAACGAUGAGUUUGGAUAGGUUAAAUAUCCGAUCCUCU
rnacentral:tRNA from 1 species